GAAAAAUAUGAGUGUUCUCUUUUGUGCGAGACAAACAGCCGAGCGCGGCGAGGUCGGGGCCGGGGUCACGCGGCUCCGGGCUGCAGCUGCCGCCGUGGGGCGGGCGGGGGUCCCCGGCGGCCCCCCGGGCGUCGCGGCCGGCGGCGGCGGCGGCGGCCUCGGCAGGCAUUCCGGCGGCGCGGGCGGCCGCUGUCCUCGCGCGACCCCGGCCCGUCCAGAGCGCGCCCCGGGCGACCCUCGAGGAGGAGCGAGGGGAGCGCGGUCCGGGCACCCGAGCAAGGUUGAACAGAUCAGAAGAUAUGAAAUGAAAAGGAUGGCGUUUGCAUGUAAAUGGAGUGAAAGCAGACGGAUCCCGGAGGAAAAUACAAG
ensembl:lncRNA